rnacentral:ncRNA from 2 species
UAACGGAAAAUUUUAAAGGAAAGCAGGGUGAAAUUCCCUCACUGUACCGCAACGGUUAAAGUCCGAGCGCUUUAUUGUUU